UGUCCUUAGUUACCAGCACGUAAUGGUGGGCACUCUAAGGAGACUGCCGGUGACAAACCGGAGGAAGGUGGGGAUGACGUCAAGUCAUCAUGGCCCUUACGGCCUGGGCUACACACGUGCUACAAUGGUCGGUACAGAGGGUUGCCAAGCCGCGAGGUGGAGCUAAUCCCAUAAAACCGAUCGUAGUCCGGAUCGCAGUCUGCAACUCGACUGCGUGAAGUCGGAAUCGUUAGUAAUCGCGAAUCAGAAUGUCGCGGUGAAUACGUUCCCGGGCCUUGUACACACCGCCCGUCCCACCAU
rnacentral:rRNA from 1 species